rnacentral:tRNA from 1 species
UUUAGGGAGACCUACCCUGGAUUACUCCGAACCAUUUUGAAAUAGGAGAAGUUGAGUGGUCACUCUAGGUCGACGCAGGGCUUUGAGACUAGUUUCUACGACUAGUGGUUGAGGUUUAUUUUUUAGUCUUUAGGGGCUAAGGAACUAAACACGGGCUAUUAGCUCAGGUGGUUAGAGCGCACCCCUGAUAAGGGUGAGGUCCCUGGUUCGAGUCCAGGAUGGCCCACUUGUGGGGGUUUAGCUCAGUUGGUAGAGCGCCUGCUUUGCAAGCAGGAUGUCAGCGGUUCGAGUCCGCUAACCUCCACCACGAAAGCAGGGAUAGGAAUUCAGCACAUUGUGUAGUGGACGCGGUCCAAGACAUAAUCUGCUGGGUGAAAGCCUAUGCGAAGAACCUUGAAAACUGAAUAGAGAGAAGUGUAAGGUAGUACACACAGAACAUUCAAAGUUCGUUGAGAGAAGAGUGAACUUUGUUGGGUAACGCCAACGAAGAGAAGGUCAAGCUA